AGACCGGACCAGAACAGACAGACCGGAUCGCAGCUUAGACUGGGUGCACUAGCGAAGUUCUUCUGAGAAAGAGCACCAGUGUCCAAGCCAGGUAGUGCUUGACUACCUACUCACAGAAAAUCUCAUCGACAGUGGAAGAAUUGCCUGAAGUGGAUUGUAAAAACAGAACUGCAAGAGUCAAGAGAGUGUUGGAGGGAGUGUUCAGGCCAGAGUCUCUGUUCCAUACAGCAGCAAAUCCUAAGGCUUGAGUGGUAAGCACAUUGUAUUUGUUAUGUUUUAACUUAAAUUAUUGUUUGAGGUUUAUUCCCCAGGUGUGUAGAGGUCCUGAACCUGAACUUGAUUUUAUCUUUACUGUUAGUUUUCAGCAAGAUUCCUUUUUAAUUUGAUGUUUAUGCA
rnacentral:sRNA from 1 species